rnacentral:rRNA from 1 species
AGUGAACGCUGGCGGUAGGCCUAACACAUGCAAGUCGAACGGCAGCACAGUAAGAGCUUGCUCUUACGGGUGGCGAGUGGCGGACGGGAGAGGAAUACAUCGGAAUCUACUUUUUCGUGGGGGAUAACGUAGGGAAACUUACGCUGAUACCGCAUACGACCUACGGGUGAAAGCAGGGGAUCUUCGGACCUUGCGCGAUUGAAUGAGCCGAUGUCGGAUUAGCUAGUUGGCGGGGUAAAGGCCCACCAAGGCGACGAUCCGUAGCUGGUCUGAGAGGAUGAUCAGCCACACUGGAACUGAGACACGGUCCAGACUCCUACGGGAGGCAGCAGUGGGGAAUAUUGGACAAUGGGCGCAAGCCUGAUCCAGCCAUACCGCGUGGGUGAAGAAGGCCUUCGGGUUGUAAAGCCCUUUUGUUGGGAAAGAAAAGCAGCAGGUUAAUACCCCGCUGUUCUGACGGUACCCAAAGAAUAAGCACCGGCUAACUUCGUG